UACGUAGGUGGCAAGCGUUAUCCGGAAUUAUUGGGCGUAAAGCGAGUGCAGGCGGUUGUAUAAGUCUGAUGUGAAAGCCCUCGGCUCAACCGAGGAAUUGCAUCAGAAACUGUAUAACUUGAGUGCAGAAGAGGAGAGUGGAACUCCAUGUGUAGCGGUGGAAUGCGUAGAUAUAUGGAAGAACACCAGUGGCGAAGGCGGCUCUCUGGUCUGUAACUGACGCUGAGGCUCGAAAGCAUGGGUAGCGAACAGG
rnacentral:rRNA from 1 species